AUUGAACGCUGGCGGCAGGCCUAACACAUGCAAGUCGAGCGGAUGAAGGGAGCUUGCUCCUGGAUUCAGCGGCGGACGGGUGAGUAAUGCCUAGGAAUCUGCCUGGUAGUGGGGGAUAACGUCCGGAAACGGGCGCUAAUACCGCAUACGUCCUGAGGGCGACAGUGGGGGGUCUUCGGACCUCACGCUAUCAGAUGAGCCUAGGUUGGAUUAGGUAGUUGGUGGGGUAAUGGCCUACCAAGGCGACGAUCCGUAACUGGUAUGAGAGGAUGAUCAGUCACACUGGAACUGAGACACGGCCCAGACUCCUACGGGGGGAAGCAGUGGGGAAUAUUGGACGAUGGGGGAAAGCCUGAUCCAGCCAUGCCGCGUGUAUGAAGAAGGUCUUCGGAUUGUAAAGCACUUUAAGUUGGGAGGAAGUGCAGUAAGUUAAUACCUGGCUGUUUUGACGUUACCAACAGAAUAAGCACCGGCUAACUUCGUG
rnacentral:rRNA from 1 species